CUACGGGAGGCAGCAGUGGGGAAUAUUGGACAAUGGGGGAAACCCUGAUCCAGCAAUGCCGCGUGUGUGAAGAAGGCCUGCGGGUUGUAAAGCACUUUCGGUUGGGAGGACUGCUUCUAGCACUAAUAUUGUUGGAAGUUGACGUUACCUUCAGAAGAAGCACCGGCUAACUCCGUGCCAGCAGCCGCGGUAAUACGGAGGGUGCAAGCGUGAAUCGGAAUUACUGGGCGUAAAGCGCGCGUAGGCGGCUAGAUCAGUCGGGUGUGAAAGCCCCGGGCUUAACCUGGGAACUGCAUCCGAUCCUGUCUAGCUUGAGUACAGGAGAGGAGAGUGGAAUUCCACAUGUAGCGGUGAAAUGCGUAGAUAUGUGGAGGAACACCAAUGGCGAAGGCAGCUCUCUGGCCUGAUACUGACGCUGAGGUGCGAAAGCGUGGGGAGCAAACAGGAUUAGAACCCCAGUAGUC
rnacentral:rRNA from 1 species